rnacentral:rRNA from 1 species
AUGGGGAGACUAUCUCAGAUAGGGCUUCUUGACCUUUCAUCAAACAAGCUUGAAGGAUAUAUUCCAAAUGAACUAGGAAAUCUAAGAAGGGUAUUCCAUUUGAGCCUCGUGGAUAAUUUUCUCCACGGAAGCAUUCCACAAGAAAUUGGGGCACUAUCCAAUCUGAAGUUGUUGGAUUUGUCGUCAAAUAACUUGAGUGGUUUGAUGCAAGGAUCAAUUGAGAAUUUCUUAAAACUGCUCUCAUUGAAUUUAAGUCACAAUAACUUCAAAGGAAAUAUCCCUAUCAUGCUACAGUUAUUGCGCAACUUACAUAUCACGUUGGCCUUGAGUGAUAAUUCAUUUAUUGGGGCAAUACCAAGCGAACUUAGUGGUCUGAUCAUGCUAGAUACUUUGAAUCUUUCACACGAUGAACUUAGUGGCUCCAUCCCGUCAUCAUUUCAGAGUAUGGAAAGCCUGACAACCAUUGAUGUAUCUUACAAUGAAUUGGUAGGACCAGUCCCAAAGAGUAAGCUCUUCCAAGGAGCUCCACUGAAGUGGUUUAUGCAUAAUAAGAUGUUAUGUGGUGUAGUGAAAGGAUUGGUUCCAUGUAGUAGUGUAACUGAAAUUGGGGGAAGAAGGAAAGGACACAAAACACUUGUAGUAGUAGUGGUUGCUACUCUGAUAUUCCUUGGGCUUGUUGUAGUGAUAUUGAUGUUUCGACAUGAAAGCAAGAAACCCAAGGAAAUUAACACCAUUAAUGUAACUCAAAGAAAAGGCCUUCUCUAUUUGGAGUUUUGA